UGCCAGCCGCCGCGGUAAUACGGAGGGUGCAAGCGUUAUCCGGAAUCACUGGGUUUAAAGGGUGCGUAGGCGGCUAGAUAAGUCAGAGGUGAAAGUUUGCAGCUUAACUGUAAAAUUGCCUUUGAUACUGUUUAGCUUGAAUUAGGUUGAGGUUAGCGGAAUGUGACAUGUAGCGGUGAAAUGCAUAGAUAUGUCAUAGAACACCAAUUGCGAAGGCAGCUGGCUAGACCUAUAUUGACGCUGAGGCACGAAAGCGUGGGGAGCGAACAGGAUUAGAUA
rnacentral:rRNA from 1 species